UAGAGUGAAACAUGAUUGUAUUCACGGCGUGAAAUAGGGGAUUACACUGUUUUUAAAACGGAAAGUGAAUCAAUUAACAUAAUAGACUCUU
rnacentral:pre_miRNA from 1 species